UCUAGAGCUGAAAGCACUCGGAAGAAGUACAGAUUGGUGUAUAUUUGUAUGUAUUAAUGGUUGGCUGACUGUGAUCGAGCCUGUAUGACUGUUUUUAUACCUAAUUAAUAACGACUGAGAUUAAGCCGUAAUGUGCUUAAAAUGAACUUUGAAACGAACUGUUUGAUUUAUAUUAUACAUUGGUUAAUAAAAAGUAUGCUACCCUCACAAGGAGAGCUCAUUUCUGA